GCCAGUAAUUUCUUCAUUGUUACUCGUUCAUGGACGGCAAGUUCUGUGACUCCCUUCCUCAUCCUCGCCCUCACAAGAUGUCGGUGCAGAUAGAAAAAAAGGCGCUAUGAGUGUUCUGCCCUCCCGUGCGGCUGGAAAAGAGAGGAAGUGCUGAGGAAAACUGGGCUGACUUGCGACUGGGAAGGUCAACCCAAUGCUGGUGAAGAAGAACAAGAAGCCCUGUGGUACCCUCUUUGAUUGCAGAAAGUGUUGGUGGCGGCCCUGGUGGUGGCCCUGGCAGCGUGGCGGGGGAGCGAGGCCCUUCCCAAGCAAGCCCCUAACGCCCUCAGGCAGAAGCCCUGGUCAUGGCCUCCCCCCCAGCCUGCAGCAAGCCCG